rnacentral:rRNA from 1 species
UGCUAAGUGUUAGGGGGUUUUCCGCCCCUUAGUGCUUGCAGCUAACGCAUUAAGCACUCCGCCUGGGGAGUACGGUCGCAAGACUGAAACUCAAAGGAAUUUGACGGGGGCCCGCACAAGCGGUGGAGCAUGUGGUUUAAUUCGAAGCAACGCGAAGAACCUUACCAGGUCUUGACAUUCCUCUGACAAUCCUAGAGAUAGGACGUCCCCUUCGGGGGCAGAGUGACAGGUGGUGCAUGGUUGUCGUCAGCUCGUGUCGUGAGAUGUUGGGUUAAGUCCCGCAACGAGCGCAACCCUUGAUCUUAGUUGCCAGCAUUCAGUUGGGCACUCUAAGGUGACUGCCGGUGACAAACC